CCUACGUGAGGCAGCAGUGAGGAAUAUUGGUCAAUGUGCGCGAGCCUGAACCAGCCAAGUAGCGUGAAGGAUGACUGCCCUACGGGUUGUAAACUUCUUUUAUAAAGGAAUAAAGUGAGGCACGUGUGCCUUUUUGUAUGUACUUUAUGAAUAAGGAUCGGCUAACUCCGUGCCAGCAGCCGCGGUAAUACGGAGGAUCCGAGCGUUAUCCGGAUUUAUUGGGUUUAAAGGGAGCGUAGAUGGGUUGUUAAGUCAGUUGUGAAAGUUUGCGGCUCAACCGUAAAAUUGCAAUUGAUACUGGCAGUCUUGAGUACAGUUGAGGUAGGCGGAAUUCGUGGUGUAGCGGUGAAAUGCUUAGAUAUCACGAAGAACUCCGAUUGCGAAGGCAGCUUACUAAACUGCCACUGACAUUGAUGCUCGAAAGUGUGGGUAUCAAACAGGAUUAGAUACCCUUGUAGUC
rnacentral:rRNA from 1 species